rnacentral:rRNA from 1 species
CGACGAGUGGCGGUCGGGUGAGUAAUACUUAGGAAUCUGCCCAGUAUGGGGGGACAACUCGGGGAAACUCGAGCUAAUACCGCAUACGCCCUAAGGGGGAAAGCGGGGGAUCUUCGGACCUCGCGCUAUUGGAUGAGCCUAAGUCGGAUUAGCUUGUAGGUAGGGUAACGGCCUACCUAGGCGACGAUCCGUAGCUGGUCUGAGAGGACGAUCAGCCACACUGGGACUGAGACACGGCCCAG